AUGCUAAUUAUAGUAUAAAUAAUAAGAAGUGGGGAGGGAGAGAGAGAGAGAGAGAGAAAGUCUUCCUCUCCCCUUUGUGCCGUCUAAAGAUUGAAGGAAAAGGAGGAAAAACUUAUUUGUUUUUCCAUGGUUUUUACCAUCCAAAAUUGAUAAGCUAAAGACAACAUCAGGUCUUCUCAAGAGAAAGGGAAAGCGAGAUCCGUAGACGAGUAGCUAAUAUGACCAUUUGGUAUUUGUACUUGGCAGAUUGGUGAAGAAUGAUACAAAAUUUAGGGGAAUCUGCCCUCAAGGUUGCAACACUCCCCUAUUAGUGUCAUGACAUCAAGCUUUGUUUCCAUAAUCACGAUGUUGAAUUCCCUUGUCCUCAAGGUUGCGACGUUCCCUUGCUGUCGUGACUCACCGCGAUUGAAGUAGUGACGUCAUACUUCUACUCUCAGUGCCGCGACAUGCCUCCUCACGAUCGCGAUAUUACCUUUGUAUUUUGAAAAUUUUACGUUUUAGUUCUUGUUUAUCAUUAGUGAUUAAAAAGAGUUUUUUUAAGCUCGUUUAUAACCCGAAAUUGAUUAAAUAAUGUAUUUAAUUAAGUUUUGGAACCAAAUGACUUGUAUGACUUGUUUAUUAGAUAUAUAAAUGAAAUCGUAGUUGCUCCAGCAA